GUCGAACGGAGUUAAGGGUUUCGGCCUUUAACUUAGUGGCGAACGGGUGAGUAACGCGUGAAUAACCCGACUCAAAGAGGGGGAUAACAACGGGAAACUGUUGCUAAUACCGCAUGAGACCACAACACCGCAUGAUGAAGGGGUCAAAGAUUUAUCGCUUUGAGAGGGGUUCGCGUCCCAUUAGGUAGUUGGAGGGGUAACGGCCCACCAAGCCAACGAUGGGUAGCCGAGCUGAGAGGCUGAUCGGCCACACUGGAACUGAGACACGGUCCAGACUCCUACGGGAGGCAGCAGUAGGGAAUAUUGGGCAAUGGGCGCAAGCCUGACCCAGCAACGCCGCGUGAGGGAAGAAGGUUUUCGGAUUGUAAACCUCUGUCCUAUGUGACGAAGGAAGUGACGGUAGCAUAGGAGGAAGCCCCGGCUAACUACGUGCCAGCAGCCGCGGUAAUACGUAGGGGGCGAGCGUUGUCCGGAAUUACUGGGCGUAAAGGGUGCGUAGGCGGUUUGGUAAGUUGGAUGUGAAAUACCCGGGCUUAACUUGGGGGCUGCAUCCAAUACUGUCGGACUUGAGUGCAGGAGAGGAAAGCGGAAUUCCUAGUGUAGCGGUGAAAUGCGUAGAUAUUAGGA
rnacentral:rRNA from 1 species